rnacentral:misc_RNA from 1 species
UCAACCAUCAAGCCUGGCUUGUCGUUGGACCCUUUUUACCGCUGAAAUAUGUGGUAGGUCCGAAAGAUAAUGACGGCGUCGUGUUUGACCCUAGAUGCAACGAGCUUUUUAUAGCACGCAUUGAAGUGGUCGGCCGACCCGGUCUUUAACCAUCAUUUUCUAA